rnacentral:misc_RNA from 1 species
GUAAGUUGCACUAAAUCCUCCCAGCUCCCAUUGUCUAGGGCAUUUGUUGUACAAACUGGUCAGUGGACGCUACGUCCCCUUAUAACGAGAAGAAGAGCAGAAGCUGAAACGAGACAGAGUAGUAGCAUGAAUAUUCCUGCAAGAAUUGCAGAAAAACUUCCGCUUCUCUCUGCUCGUCCCUCUCCCCAAGGUGCUCUUUAAAUACAAUUGUUUUCCGAACAUUGGGUUUGUGCCAUUUUUGAACCAGAAAAGGAAAUUUGGAGUUGGGUUUCCAAAGAAAAUGGUUUGGAGUUUGGAUAAUUGCGAUGUCGACGUUGAGAACAAGUUAGGGGUGGUUCGGCCUGCCACCGAACUGUAUUCUGAGGAGGCAGUUGAAGCCCUCAAAACUGGAAAAGUUAUUGCAGUGCCCACGGAUACACUCUAUGGAUUUGCCUGUGACGCCUGCUCUUUGGAAGCAAUUAAUAGGAUUUACGAGAUCAAAGGACGUAAACAUACAAGCCCUCUAGCAAUUUGUGUUGGGGAUGCAUCAGACAUAAAGCAAUUUGCAGUCACUGACCACCUGCCUCAUGGCUUACUUGAUUCUCUACUCCCAGGACCUGUUACUGUUGUAUUAAGGAGAGGGGAGUCGAGUGCACUUGAGAAGUCCUUGAAUCCUGGUUUGGACAGUGUGGGAGUCCGUGUGCCUGAUUGUAACUUCAUCAGGGUAAUCGCACGUGGUUUGGGAAGAGCAGUGGCUCUCACAAGUGCAAACCUUAGUGGACAGCCAAGUAGCGUCUGCAUCAAGGAUUUUGAGGCACUGUGGGAACAUUGUGCAUAUGUCUACGAUGGCGGUGUGCUUCCAUCUGGUCGUGCUGGAUCAACAGUUGUGGAUCUUAGCAGGCUAGGAAAGUAUAAGAUUCUUAGACCUGGAAGGUAAACUUCUUAUUGAAUAGACUACUCAGUCUUACUAUGUGAUAUCUUAUUAAAAGCUCAGAAAUUGUCAGUGUUAUAGUUUGUCAUUUUGGUCUCAAAUUUUGUGUGUUAUAGUUUUCAUUGUAAGAUUAAACAUCAUUCAAAUUUUGUAAUUUACUUAAAUAAUAGCAAUCUUGUUAUAUUUGCUAACGUCAAAGUGUUGUUUUUCAAGAGCAGAUGGGACAGCUAUGACACCUACUAUGAUCUUACAAUAUCUAUAUGCUCAACAUAUAUGGCCCUCUCCAUGGGGAAAGGAGAAAGAAAAAAAAAUUCUUGAUUAUUGUUAAUCUGUUUUGAAUUUACACAUGUACAAUAAAAAAUUGAUCCUAGACUUCUUAUCUUAUGCAUUUGACUUUAUGAAUAACAUUACAGGAUAGCUGAUGAAAUGUUGCUCAUGAGAAAUUUGUUUGAUAUCAUAGAUGCUAUGAAACCAUACUAUGUUACUAAUAGAAUUAGAUUUAUUUGGAUGUCCAUGCUAUUGGUCUUUCUCAUACUUAGUCCAGAGGACAUUUCCAGUGAACGAGCUUUGCAAGGGGAAGGACAUCUAUCAUUUGUAGUCUUUCCCCUACUCUUCUGCGAAGAGAUUGUUUCUAUGAUUUGAACCUGUUAAAUUACUGUUGUGGUCUCUCUCUCUCUUGAAAUGUGAAGCCAUGCCACUGUCCUUUUUGUGUGCUUGUGUGUUUUACUUAUUAUCUUUUUAAAUUUUUUGUUGAAUUCUUCUAGUAUCACAAUACUGCUUUUGUCUUAUAUUUGCAGUGCAAAGGAAGAGACUGUGACAAUCCUUGAAAAGCAUUCUCUAGUUGAGGAAGUGACCACUAAUUGAAGAAAUGUUGGAGUGAAAGUUCUAUAAUAUUUUACUGAUUUGCUGCACGAGUGAUUGCUUGUGCAUGGCGAAAACUCUCAACUGUGCAUCAAUUAUAAUUUAUUUGACUUGGAUAUAAGCUUAAGUUCUCGUGAUGUGCCAGAGAUUUUGAUAUUGUUAGUAGAUAAUUCUUGUAGAAGACACUUGACAAAGAUGAAAUUGUUAUAACAUAUAUAUUAUAAUUAAUUAAUUAAUUAUAUAAACGAGUUUGG